GAUCCAGGUGAGCUUUUCUUCUUCUUCUCUCCUCUUCAUUGUGUUAUUUUUAUCAUUUCAUUCUUCUGAUGACUGGCCUUCUACUUGCAGCUGAUCUACAAUAUGUCCGAGCUGGAGGUCAGGUACCGGAGGUUCGGCGACAUCCAGACGACAUAGAAGAAUAGGGCCGAAACCGUCGAAGCUGAGAAGGCGACGCUGGUGGACCA
rnacentral:lncRNA from 1 species